rnacentral:ncRNA from 1 species
UCGCUUGUUUACUGUUACAAUGCGCCGCUAUUGGGAAUGCAGUGAGAAUCUGCAACUGUACCCGCAACUGUAUAUUGUUUGUUAAGUCGUUUCAGCAAGCAUAAGUCAGAUACCAAUUUGUAAGUUUCGUGCGGGA